UACGGAGGAUGCGAGCGUUAUCCGGAUUUAUUGGGUUUAAAGGGUGCGUAGGCGGGCUUUUAAGUCAGCGGUAAAAAUUCGGGGCUCAACCCCGUCCGGCCGUUGAGACUGGGGGUCUUGAGUGGGCGAGAAGGAGGCGGAAUGCGUGGUGUAGCGGUGAAAUGCAUAGAUAUCACGCAGAACCCCGAUUGCGAAGGCAGCCUUCCGGCGCCCUACUGACGCUGAGGCACGAAAGUGCGGGGAUCGAACAGG
rnacentral:rRNA from 1 species